rnacentral:rRNA from 1 species
UACGUAGGGCGCAAGCGUUGUCCGGAAUUAUUGGGCGUAAAGAGCUCGUAGGCGGUCUGUCGCGUCUGCCGUGAAAACCCGGGGCUUAACCUUGGGCUUGCGGUGGAUACGGGCGGACUUGAGGUAGGUAGGGGAGAAUGGAAUUCCCGGUAUAGCGGUGAAAUGCGCAGAUAUCGGGAGGAACACCGGUGGCGAAGGCGGUUCUCUGGGCCUUACCUGACGCUGAGGAGCGAAAGCGUGGGGAGCGAACAGG